UACGAGGGGGGCGAGCGUUGUUCGGAAUUAUUGGGCGUAAAGGGUGCGUAGGCGGCCUGACAAGUCUGAUGUGAAAUCCCUGGGCUCAACCCAGGGCCUGCAUCGGAAACUGUCGGGCUUGAGUAUGGGAGAGGUGAGUGGAAUUUCCGGUGUAGCGGUGAAAUGCGUAGAUAUCGGAAGGAACACCUGUGGCGAAAGCGGCUCACUGGACAAUUACUGACGCUGAGGCACGAAAGCGUGGGGAGCAAACAGG
rnacentral:rRNA from 1 species